rnacentral:rRNA from 1 species
CCUACGGGUGACAGCAGUGAGGAAUAUUGGUCAAUGGACGCAAGUCUGAACCAGCCAUGCCGCGUGCAGGAAGACGGCUCUAUGAGUUGUAAACUGCUUUUGUACGAGGGUAAAUCCCGAUACGUGUAUCGGAUUGAAAGUAUCGUACGAAUAAGGAUCGGCUAACUCCGUGCCAGCAGCCGCGGUAAUACGGAGGAUUCAAGCGUUAUCCGGAUUUAUUGGGUUUAAAGGGUGCGUAGGCGGUUCGAUAAGUUAGAUGUGAAAUCCCGGGGCUCAACUCCGGCACUGCCUUUGAUACUGUCUGUCUAGAGUUUAGUUGCGGUAGGCGGAAUGUAUGGUGUAGCGGCGAAAUGCAUAGAGAUCAUACAGAACACCGAUUGCGAAGGCAGCUUACUAAACUACGACUGACGUUGAGGCACGAAAGCGUGGGGAGCAAACAGGAUUAGAUACCCUUGUAGUC